GUCUACGGCCAUAUCACAUUGAAAACACCGGUUCUCGUCCGAUCACCGAAGUUAAGCAACGUCGAGCCCGGUUAGUACUUGGAUGGGUGACCGCGCCUGGGAAUACCGGGUGCUGUAGGCU
rnacentral:rRNA from 1 species